GGUAUAGCUCAAGUAGUAGAGCACUUGCUUAGCAUGCAUGAGGUCCUGGGUUCAAUCCCCAGUACC
rnacentral:tRNA from 1 species